CUUGAUGAGGAGAUCCACUUUCCAGUUUCCACAGUUUGUGUGAUUGAGCCCCAUGCAUUCCAGCCCUGAACUACUGAAAUGGUCUUUCUUCCUUGCUGGGCAAUGAGGAUCAGAUAAAGGAUCCCACGAAAGGAGAAUGUAAACACUUGGGGAUUUUUUAGUUUCAUUAUAUUAUCAGGACACUGUGGAGUAUAUUAAUCAGAUUGGGGAUGUGAGGAAUCAUAUAUGUAAUGGGGAUAUUGUUACGUAGAUGACAAAUUCUGAUUGAUCGGAUUGCCUUGCCCACCUUGGUCACUUUAAAAAAAAAAAAUUGGAUUUAAAAUAAUAAAAGCCAGCACAUUAUGUUUUUUUUUUUUUUUUUUUUUUACACAACCAAGAAGCCUAUUUUAAUUAGGCUUUGAUUCCAAGGGCUCCCCUCACCUGUGAAUCUUUCACCACCACCUGGUUUGGUACCGUUUUUUUUAAUUGAGGUGCUUUUUCAUACUGAACUUCCUUAAAGUACAGUGCCUUCUCAGACAGUAAGUAUAUGAUGGAGAGAUCAAAGCUGACAUGAUGCAGUUCACACAAAUCUUUAAGCAGCUAAAGCUGAAUCCCUACCACAUCUCCUGCUUGAAACUUAACAACACAAGGUGUGUGCCCCUUGUCUAGCAGAUUAUUUUGUUUUCACUGACUCGGUAGAGAUGCUGUUGUUAACACUGGUUUUCACUUGAUUCCGAUGCAGCUGUUAGAAAUACCAUUUUACCGUAUGUUGGAACAGCAACUCUGCCUUUAUUUGAAAUCCCCCAAAUCCCAAGCAGAUGGUAACUCCCCCAGAGCACAGCUGGGCAUUAUUUUGUGACUGCCAACAGCUGGAGCUGGGCUUUAGCCUCUUGUACAAAUGUACAUCAAAUGCUGGACUUCAGUGGUAUUAUUCUUCCUUCUGCCUGUGAAACUUCAUUCCUACUCUGCAGAUCAGUACGUUUCGUGUCCCAGAACCAGCUACGUCCUUAAGAAAUUUAGAUUUUUCAGGAAAUCAUGCCAAAUUCUCAAUGGCUGGGAAGAUCUUUUCCCAUUUUUUGAACCGCAUGCAGCGUGGAACCUUUUCCAACUAAAUCAGCAGAAAUAACAGACCUUGCCACAAAUGACAUUCCUUUCUCAAAAGCAGUCGGUUGCAUUACUUGUGGUGUCCCAUCACUUACUAGAACUACUUGUAAAAACAAAUUCAAAAGGUAUUAAAAAAAAAAAAAGGAAUGAUGCAACUAUGGCACAGAAGCACUGGGAAGAAUUCAUCUGAGAAGUAAUUCUCGUGAACUUUCAGUGAAUUCCUCUUUCUAUUUCUUGGUGCAUGUUUCACAUCAUACACUGCUCUCUAUCACUGGAGCCUGGUCAGUCUAUCAAAGUGUGCCGUUAGCUAUUUUUAGGUAUUAGGAAUUGUUACUGUACAGGUAGAAGACUAGUUUCGAUACACUGCUCCUCUCUGGGUGCUUCACAAGACUCGUAAAAGCAGCCACUAGCACCAGCCCAGGGCUAGCCCUGAGUAUGGCUGAGCACUGGUGCUGGAGCACCCCUCACUGCCUGCUGUGCCCCACAGGUGCUGCCUCAGCCCAGCCCACCUGUGAAGCAAGCAGGCUCAGCUCCCUGACAGUGCCCAUCAGCACACAGCACACGUUGAGGCCAGAUGCUGGAUGGAGGUGUAGCUGAUGGCUGAGCCACUGUUCAAAAACCAGGAUCAACUUCUGCCAAUAUUAAAAAGGGACUGUUUUAAUUUAGCCGCUUCUUGCAUUCACCUGUUUCUUUAGCCCACUUCCACCGCAGCGUAGAUUUUAAAACGGGUAAUUAACUUUCCUUUAAAAUAUUUAAGUUUAAAAACCAGUCUGGAACCACUUAUGCCAAUUGUCUGCAUAUAGCAAAACUUGUUGAAAUGCAGAGCUUUUGGAACAAAGUGGUGUUUGAGGACAAAAAGUCACAGCCAACAUGUCUUGACCACACUCCUGGUUUCCUCUUUUUCCUAGACACACGCACAUACACAGUCUGAAGGGCACGCAUGCUACCUGUUUAGCACAGCUGCGACGGGAUAGAAAACAUCCUUUGGUGCUCCUCUUGAGCCCUCUGCUGGAGUGCAUACUAGAGGAGGCUGGGGCAUUAGCCCAGCUGUGCUUUUGUCAACAGCAUAAUUGGAAAAGAAGGGCUGGUAAGAAUAAGAGUAACCUAUAAGUUGGCUAAAAAUUAAUUUUAAAAUAUUUAAUUAAUUCAGAGUCUUAUCAGUCAGAUUUGGAGUUUUGGCUUUUCUUAAGCGGGUAGCAAUCCAGUGUGAGUGUUGCCACUGCCAGAAGUCUCUGUAACUACGUUACUGAAGUAAAUGCAGCUUUGACUUGAGCACCUGAUUAGCCGGAGCCACGGUCAGUAUUUACAAAAGGGAGGGCAUAUGCUGCUUAGGUUUAGAAGUAAGCAGUGAACAACCCCAGUAUACACUGAUAGCCAAUGUCUGCCAUGAUCUAAAGCAUCUUAAGAUUUUUAAUAUUGGGUUUUUUUUUUGUUUUUGUUUUUGUUUUUAAAUACUAAGGAAGUGUUUUCAGUGGCAUGUUUUGCUUUUGUUUUCAUUUGUAACCAAGAAGAGCCAGCUUUUCUGCUUGUUGCCGGUACGCUAUCAACCUGCUCUGCAACGGCAUAAUCAGCUAACUUGCAAGAAUAUCCACGUUCAUCACAUAGCACACAGAUAGAUGGAAGACAGGCUGGGAAGAAAUACAGAAAAAACUCAAUUAGGAUUUCCUUUCUCAGGGUGCUGUUUUUCUAGCAAGUGAUAAGGUGUUCUAUAUUGCCGCUCCUUCUUCUGGAUGAAGUUUUCAGAUGUAGGGUGCUCUUAUUAAAUCUGACAGCUGCUUAGAGCUGUUCCUGUCACCUCAGCAGCAGCUUUCAAAGAUGGUUUGGAAAAAAAAAAACCCACAAAAACAAAAUAAAUCAGCUUAAGACUAAUUAAUUUCAUGAGGGGGGCUGCAGAGCGUAACCGCUUCUUGAUGUACAUGCACUGCAUAGGAUCUAGAAGACUUUGCUGUGGAUUCUUUAAAACCUGUGUGCCAAUUAGUUCAGUUUAACUUUGUUUUUGUGGUAUUGAAGAACUCUUCAAGCAUCUGUGGUUUGAUCAACUUUGUAAACUUAUAUUCUGUAAAGUGCCAUAGACUUUUUUUAAUUGUAGCAUAUUUAAAUAUAUAUAUAUAUACACAAAUUUGUGUGAGAUGUGCAAUAACAGGAAUGUCUUUUGGUGGGUUUUUUUUUCUUUUUUCUUUUUUUGGUAGUUUUUGCUAUUAAACAGGAUAUUUGAAAAGGGACUUCCCAGGGAAGAAUUGGUGUGUUGGUGAUGUGGACAAACUAAGCAUAGAAUAAUGUAACAGUUAUGGAUUUUGAAGAUGAAUACAACAUUAACAGUAGCUUAAAGAUGUAACAAAAAAUCUCUCCUAGGGUGAUUUAAUCUACGUAACACAGACAGUUGAGAUGUGAAGCUGUAUCUAUUUCUAGCAGCGUACAAUCUGAAAGCUGAAAAGGUUCAGCAAGGUUUCUCAGUGUGCUUUAUUUAUAACAUGGCGUUGCAAAAAAAAAAAAAAAAAAAAAUUGCUACUGAGCUCUUCCUUGUUUGUCUAUAUCACCUUUAUAUCCAUUUUUACUCCAAAUUCUUUGGAUUCUGAGAUUUUUUAGCCCAAUCAUUUCAGUUUUGAAUUGUUAUCCCACGUAAGAGUAUCUCACUUGUGUUCCUGGAAAGCCAUGGGAACUGCUGCCUAUAAGAGGGAAAGGACAGAGCCCAGCAAAAGCAGUGCCUGGCAGCAACAUGCACGCCAUCGCCAUGCUCUGCAGAAGGACAAGCUGUGGCAGCCCAGCUAGAUUAGACUGAGCCAUGGUUUAUUUGUGGUACUGUUUAUCUGUUCUUGAGUCACCACUAUGUACACUUAUUAGCACGAAUUAUGUACCUAAUGUGUUACUCUUCUGAAUCUAAAUUUCAAUUAAAAUGUGAGUUUUUGAAAUGUAACAGGAGUAUGACUAUCUUAAUUCAAACAUAUUAGGUAUGUUUAGCCAGAGCAAGUUUUCUUUAACUGUAGCUUUAAUAGCAUUUAAGAACCCAGCCCAGUGAUUUUGUUAGCGUUUUAGUUUUCUGACUAACAAUUACUGAUCAAAAAGUAUGUGAUUUGAAAUUGUACCUAUGCAUUAUACAGUACAGUUGCAUUAAAGAGACUCUCUAAUUAAAAACA